rnacentral:rRNA from 1 species
CAGCCGCCACGGGAACACGUAGGGUGCAAGCGUUAAUCGGAAUUACUGGGCGUAAAGCGUGCGCAGGCGGUUUGUUAAGACAGAUGUGAAAUCCCCGGGCUCAACCUGGGAACUGCAUUUGUGACUGGCAAGCUAGAGUCUGGCAGAGGGGGGUGGAAUUCCGCGUGUAGCAGUGAAAUGCGUAGAUAUGCGGAGGAACACCGAUGGCGAAGGCAGCCCCCUGGGCCAACACUGACGCUCAUGCACGAAAGCGUGGGGAGCAAACAGGAUUAGAGACCCGCGUAGUCCCUGUCUCUUAUAC